rnacentral:rRNA from 1 species
UACGUAGGUGACCAGCGUUGUCCGGAUUUACUGGGCGUAAAGAGCGCGCAGGCGGUCGUUCAAGUCGAGUGUGAAAGCCCCCGGCUCAACUGGGGAGGGUCAUUCGAUACUGAUCGACUGGAAGGCAGGAGAGGGAAGCGGAAUUCCCGGUGUAGUGGUGAAAUGCGCAGAUAUCAGGAAGAACACCCGUGGCGAAGGCGGCUCUCUGGGACGGUACUGACGCUGAGACGCGAAAGCGUGGGGAGCGAACAGG